AAAAUGCAGCGAUCAGUAACAAACAAUGUCCGCAAUAACCCUCAUUAAAAUCCUCCCAAAAGGGGGGAGAAACGGAUCCCAUAGGUGAUAAGAGACCCAGAAAGAUGAAGAAGAAGAAGAG